UACAGAGGUCCCGAGCGUUGUUCGGAUUCACUGGGCGUAAAGGGUGCGUAGGUGGUGAGGUAAGUCGGAUGUGAAAUCUCGGAGCUCAACUCCGAAAUGGCAUUGGAAACUACCUUGCUAGAGGGUUUGAGGGGGGACUGGAAUGCUUGGUGUAGCAGUGAAAUGCGUAGAUAUCAAGCGGAACACCAGUGGCGAAGGCGAGUCCCUGGAAAACUCCUGACACUGAGGCACGAAAGCUAGGGGAGCAAACAGG
rnacentral:rRNA from 1 species